AGUCGAGAAUAAUUCACAAUGGGGGCAACCCUGAUGGUGCAACGCCGCGUGGAGGAUGAAGGUCUUCGGAUUGUAAACUCCUGUCAUCCGGGAGUAAGACCUGGCGAUGAAUAGUCGACAGGGUUGAUAGUACCGGAAGAGGAAGGGACGGCUAACUUCGUGCCAGCAGCCGCGGUAAUACGAAGGUCCCGAGCGUUGUUCGGAAUCACUGGGCGUAAAGGGAGCGUAGGCGGCGCGGUAAGUCAGAUGUGAAAUCCCGGGGCUCAACCCCGGAACUGCAUCCGAUACUGCCGUGCUUUGAGGGUUGGAGAGGUAGCUGGAAUUCUUGGUGUAGCAGUGAAAUGCGUGGAUAUCAAGAGGAACACUCGUGGCGAAAGCGAGCUACUGGACAACACCUGACGCUGAGGCUCGAAGGCCAGGGGAGCGAA
rnacentral:rRNA from 1 species